rnacentral:rRNA from 1 species
UACGUAGGGUGCAAGCGUUGUCCGGAAUUAUUGGGCGUAAAUAGCUCGUAGGCGGUCUGUUGCGUCGGCUGUGAAAACCCGGGGCUCAACUCCGGGCCUGCAGCCGAUACGGGCAGACUAGAGUUCGGCAGGGGAGACUGGAAUUCCUGGUGUAGCGGUGAAAUGCGCAGAUAUCAGGAGGAACACCGGUGGCGAAGGCGGGUCUCUGGGCCGAUACUGACGCUGAGGAGCGAAAGCGUGGGGAGCGAACCGG